rnacentral:rRNA from 1 species
UGGGGAAUUUUGGACAAUGGGCGAAAGCCUGAUCCAGCAAUGCCGCGUGUGUGAAGAAGGCCUUCGGGUUGUAAAGCACUUUUGUCCGGAAAGAAAUCCUUGGCUCUAAUACAGUCGGGGGAUGACGGUACCGGAAGAAUAAGCACCGGCUAACUACGUGCCAGCAGCCGCGGUAAUACGUAGGGUGCAAGCGUUAAUCGGAAUUACUGGGCGUAAAGCGUGCGCAGGCGGUUUGCUAAGACCGAUGUGAAAUCCCCGGGCUCAACCUGGGAACUGCAUUGGUGACUGGCAGGCUAGAGUAUGGCAGAGGGGGGUAGAAUUCCACGUGUAGCAGUGAAAUGCGUAGAGAUGUGGAGGAAUACCGAUGGCGAAGGCAGCCCCCUGGGCCAAUACUGACGCUCAUGCACGAAAAGCGUGGGGGAGCAAACAGGAUUAGAUACCCUGGUAGUCCACGCCCUAAAACGAUGUCAACUAGUUGUUGGGGGAUUCAUUUCCUUAGUAACGUAGCUAACGCGUGAAGUUGACCGCCUGGGGAGUACGGUCGCAAGAUUAAAACUCAAAUGAAUUGACGGGGUCAUAGCUGUUUCCU